rnacentral:rRNA from 1 species
GAUGAACGCUAGCUACAGGCUUAACACAUGCAAGUCGCGGGGCAGCAUGGGGGUUGCUUGCAACCCCUGAUGGCGACCGGCGCACGGGUGAGUAACGCGUAUCCAACCUGCCCUUCACCACGGGCUAACCCGGCGAAAGUCUGACUAAUACCGUAUGUUGUCCAUUCACGGCAUCCGAUUUGGACGCAAGGCUUGGCGGUGUAAGGGUGGGGCUGCGUCCGAUUUGCUUGACGGCGGGGUAACGGCCCACCGUGGCUACGGUCGGUAGGGGUUCUGAGAGGAAGGUCCCCCAGACUGGAGCUGAGACACGGUCCAGACUCCUACGGGAGGGAGCAGUGAGGAAUAUUGGUGGAGGGACGUAAGCCUGAACCAGCCAAGUAGCGUGCAGGAUGACUGCCAUAUGGGUUGUAAACUGCUUUGAUGCGGGGAAAAAGUGGCUCACGUGUGGGCUUUUGCAGGUACCGCAUGAAUAAGGACCGGCUAAUUCCGUG